rnacentral:rRNA from 1 species
GAUCCUGGCUCAGGAUGAACGCUGACAGAAUGCUUAACACAUGCAAGUCUACUUGAACUUCGGUUUGGGUGGCGGACGGGUGAGUAACGCGUAAAGAACUUGCCUCACAGUUUGGGACAACCAAUUUGGAAACGAAUGCUAAUACCGAAUAUUAUGAUCGAAUGGCAUCGUUUGAUUAUGAAAGCUAUAUGCGCUGUGAGAGAGCUUUGCGUCCCAUUAGCUAGUUGGAGAGGUAACGG